rnacentral:rRNA from 1 species
GUAGGUGGCAAGCGUUGUCCGGAAUUAUUGGGGCGUAAAGCGCGCGCAGGCGGUUCUUUAAGUCUGAUGUGAAAGCCCACGGGCUCAACCGUGGAGGGUCAUUGGAAACUGGAGAACUUGAGUACAGAAGAGGAAAGCGGAAUUCCAGGUGUAGCGGUGAAAUGCGUAGAGAUGUGGAGGAACACCAGUGGCGAAGGCGGCUUUCUGGUCUGUAACUGACGCUGAGGCGCGAAAGCGUGGGGAGCAAACAGGAUUAGAUACCCUGGUAGUCCACGCCGUAAACGAUGAGUGCUAAGUGUUAGGGGGUUUCCGCCCCUUAGUGCUGCAGCUAACGCAUUAAGCACUCCGCCUGGGGAGUACGGCCGCAAAGGCUG